rnacentral:lncRNA from 1 species
GCUUCCUGCUCAGCCUUCCACCAGUUUUAUGAGACUGAUGAGUGACAGAGCCUUUCAGUGAUGUGGAGAGCAGGCAAGAAAGCACGUGUCCUAAGUUGCGUAGAGAGUUCAAGCAACGUGAUGACAAAAGCAGGAAUCUCACGGACUCUCACAAAGAGGAAAAGAAAGUGACUUAUUAUUUGAGAAGUCCUCACUGCCUAUGGCUAAAAAAAACAGAUCAGCACUACUGGGGAAGAAAAUGCACGACCAGAGACACUUCUAAGAACCCAAGGUCCUACCAGACCACCAUCGCCCUCAUGCUUCGCUGUGCAUGUUUUUUGCAGAGGACGGCGGAUGCCCUGCGGGAAAUUGCCAUCAGAGCUGGAGUGAUCAUCUCAGAGCCAAACUUUCCAGGUCAUCGCAGAAAGAAUCUCUCGCGUCAGUUAUUUGUCCUUGACAAACUGGACUAUGACAUUUCCCAAUGCUUUGAAAAGUUGUGUGUUGACAAAAAUAAACAAAGACUUUUUUUUUUUCUCCUCAUAUAUACAUCUGUCAAUAUUUUACAAUAUUUUGUAAGCAGCCUUGAUACCGGGCAUUUUGGGGCAUCUUGAAUAUACAGAAGUUUUCCCAUGCGUACUGUACAUUCAUUAAUCAUUGCACCAGAAUCCCUUUUCUACCAAAUCAGGUUCUUCCUCCUUAAAUCUUCAACAAAGACAUUUUUUGACAAAGAUGUUUUUUGAAGGAGCGUGAGCAAACCCAAAGUGAAGUCCAGAGAGAGAAGUUCUACUUACACCGAAGUUACGACCACAACCAUUUAUGGAAUGUUCCUGUUUUUUGUUUGGUCUUUUUUUUGGGGGGGGGGUGCCCACAGCAUGUGGAAGUUCUGGGGCCAGGGAUCCAACCUGUGCCACAGUAGUGACUCGAGCCACUGCAGUGACGAAGCUAGAUCCUUAACCUGCUGAGCCACCAGGGAACUCCUGAAAUAGUCCUCUCUUAUCCCCCAAAGGCAGAGAGAGGAGAAGGGAAAGAGUGACAGAGAGAGGAAUUCAACCCACAUUCCUGAUUAUCCAGGCCCUCAGGUCUCUGAGGAAGGGUUUUCUGAAUCAGUAAUGAAGCAUCAAUUACGUUAAGUAAAGGGGCAUUAGAGACGUGAGGAAACCAUGAGUCAUUGAAAGGUCUGGGGGAUUACUAGAAGCCUUACAUUUAGCUUACGAUUUAACUGAUCUCCUUUCAUUUGGUCUUCUGGAUCAUAUUUGAUUUAGAGCUUUUUACAGUAUGAACCAUACAUAGUAUUCUUGCCGUUGACAUGCUGCUUAAUUCCCUGAAGUCUUCAUCAAAUUCCGUUUUAAUAUAUCUUUCAUCACUCUAUUAUAGUCUGUCUGGUGAUGUCAGCUUUUCUGAAGAUAAGUCUAUCCUGCUGGUAUUUUUUUUUUAUUCCUUCCACAGAGUUUGAACUCUAUGAUCUGUGCUCUUUUAUUUUGUAAGGUGUAAACUUUUUCCACACCAAAAGUUUUUUUCAUAAAAAAGACCUGACAUCUCUUUACAGAUGUUAAUUAAUUCCCUCACUGGGAAGUAUUCCAUGUAUUUUGCAUCCUUGGGAAACGGGGACAGAGAGCGAAGUGACAUAUUGAAAUCAUGUAAAAACUCGGCGCCAGAGCUCGAAUUAUUACUCAGGAGAUAAAUUCGCACUCUUCGCUUCAGAGAGCAAUUGUAUUCUGAACUUGACACAAAUAAUGAUCAAAAAAUCAAAUCAUCAAGUAGAAGAGACCUGCCUGAGUUCCCGCCACUGACAUGCAAACCUACAGAGAAACUUACUCUUCAAGCAGGGGUAGCCGCUAAGAUGGACAGUGAAACUCGUAUUACCAAGAUUUUAUUACCGUGUGCAUACACACACACAGCAGGAUUUUUAGUAUCCUACUACGAAGUGUUAUUUGAAAUCAUUAAAACUAAACUGCACCUGUCAAAAUAAAUCAACCAAUACGUUUAGUGAUUC